rnacentral:rRNA from 1 species
GAUGAACGCUGGCGGCGUGCCUAAUACAUGCAAGUCGAGCGAACAGACGAGGAGCUUGCUCCUCUGACGUUAGCGGCGGGCGGGUGAGUAACACGUGGAUAACAUACCUAUAUGACUGGGAUAACUUCGGGAAAACGCCGCUAUUACUGGAUCAUAUAUUGAACCGCAUGGUUCAAUAGUGAAAGACGGUUUUGGUGUCACUUAUAGAUGGAUCCGAGCUGCAUUACUUAGUUGGUAGGGUAACGGCUUACCAAGGCAACGAUGCUAAGCCGACGUGAGAGGGCGAGCGGCCACACAGAAUGUGAGACCCGCUCCUCACUCUUACGGAAGCAAGCAGCAGGCACUCUGGCGCGAUGGGCGAAAGCUUGAUGAAGCACCACCGCGUGAGGCACAAUGGACCUCGGAUCGUAAACCUCUGUUAUCAGGUAAGAAACAAAGUCUAACUAACCACGAACGUCUUGACGGUACCUAAGCAGAAAGACACGGCUAACUACGUG